rnacentral:rRNA from 1 species
AGAGUUUGAUCCUGGCUCAGGAUGAACGCUGGCGGCGUGCUUAACACAUGCAAGUCGAGCGGAGAUAUUUAGAAAGCUUGCUUUUUGAAUAUCUUAGCGGCGGACGGGUGAGUAACGUGUGGGCAACCUGCCUCAUACAGAGGGAUAAUCAUGUGAAAACGUGACUAAUACCGCAUGUCAUUACCGGAGGGCAUCCUCCGGUAAGAAAAGGAGCAAUCCGGUAUGAGAUGGGCCCGCAUCUGAUUAGGCCACAUUGGGACUGAGACACGGCCCAAACUCCUACGGGAGGCAGCAGUGGGGAAUAUUGCACAAUGGGGGAAACCCUGAUGCAGCAACGCCGCGUGAAGGAAGACGGUUUUCGGAUUGUAAACUUCUAUCAAUAGGGACGAAGAAAGUGACGGUACCUAAAUAAGAAGCCCCGGCUAACUACGUGCCAGCAGCCGCGGUAAUACGUAGGGGGCAAGCGUUAUCCGGAAUUACUGGGUGUAAAGGGUGAGUAGGCGGCACGGCAAGUAAGAUGUGAAAGCCCGAGGCUUAACCUCGGGAUUGCAUUUUAAACUGCUGAGCUAGAGUACAGGAGAGGAAAGCGGAAUUCCUAGUGUAGCGGUGAAAUGCGUAGAUAUUAGGAAGAACACCAGUGGCGAAGGCGGCUUUCUGGACUGAAACUGACGCUGAGGCACGAAAGCGUGGGGAGCGAACAGGAUUAGAUACCCUGGUAGUCCACGCCGUAAACGAUGAGUGCUAGGUGUCGGAGGGGAACCUUCGGUGCCGCAGCAAACGCAAUAAGCACUCCACCUGGGGAGUACGAUCGCAAGAUUGAAACUCAAAGGAAUUGACGGGGGCCCGCACAAGCGGUGGAGCAUGUGGUUUAAUUCGAAGCAACGCGAAGAACCUUACCAAGGCUUGACAUCCCGAUGACCGGUGCAGAGAUGUACCUUCUCUUCGGAGCAUCGGAGACAGGUGGUGCAUGGUUGUCGUCAGCUCGUGUCGUGAGAUGUUGGGUUAAGUCCCGCAACGAGCGCAACCCUUAUCUUUAGUAGCCAGCAUUCAGGUGGGCACUCUAAAGAGACUGCCGUGGAUAACACGGAGGAAGGUGGGGAUGACGUCAAAUCAUCAUGCCCCUUAUGUCUUGGGCAACACACGUGCUACAAUGGACGGAACAAAGUGAAGCGAGACCGCGAGGUGGAGCAAAGCACAAAAACCCGUUCUCAGUUCGGAUUGUAGUCUGCAACUCGACUACAUGAAGCUGGAAUCGCUAGUAAUCGCGAAUCAGAAUGUCGCGGUGAAUACGUUCCCGGGCCUUGUACACACCGCCCGUCACACCAUGGGAGUUGGAAGCACCCGAAGCCUGUGACCCAACCUGCAAAGGAGGGAGCAGUCGAAGGUGAAGCCAGUGACUGGGGUGAAGUCGUAACAAGGUAGCCGUAUCGGAAGGUGCGGCUG